ensembl:lncRNA
GUUGUAUUAGGUAUUAUAAAUAAUCCAGAGAUGAUUCAAAGUAUACAGGAGGAUGUGCAUGGGUUACAUGAAAUACAAUGCUAUUUUAUAUAAGAGACAAGCGUUCUGGGGUUUUGAGGUCCUGUAACCAAUUCUCCUACAGACAACAAGGGACGACUGUACUGAUUUUCCUAGAUGGGCAAGCGCAUCGGAUGAAGUCUAGUUGUGAGUCAACAGCUAGGCUGGAGAAACAAAUGGAGGAGGUGGUAUUACCGAAGCCCAGGGCCAAGGUCCUCUCACAAGACCAUGGUAGACAUCUGGAGGACAAUGUCAUGGAGAAAAUGCAGCCACUUCAGGGAGCAUUAGGGGCCUAGAGGGGUAAGAAGUCACUUGAAUCUGUCUUCUUUCCACUCUCAUGGCUCCUACCAGUGCCUCCCACUGACUCAAGCCCACCAGAAUCAACUGUACUGGAGCCUGAGAAGCACAGCCUCUAAUACAGAACAGACCAAGAAAGAGAGUGAAUUCUAGAGCAACAAAACUGAUACACUUUUAUUAUUCUUUUUCAGCUUGACAAUAUUAUAUAUGUCUAAAUAGAAUAACUAGGGAAAUGAGAUAUGGAAGUCAACAAGUGAAAAAUCAACCCACA